rnacentral:antisense_RNA from 1 species
CCAAGGGCCGCGCCGGGGUUCUGCACUGUCACUGCGCUGCGGUUCCCCGCCUUAGGGAUUCUCACACGGUUCCACGGCUCCGGGCCCGGCGGCACCGCAGCCAUCUUGCGAGGCGGGGGGACUUAAGAAAGGCGGAACUACGCGAGAGCACGUCGAGCGACCGGAGUCUGGAACAGUUCCUCGUUCUUUCUCUGGCUCUGGAUCUGCGUCCCUGACAGUCUUAAAGAGGACAGACCUUUCAUUCAUGAGGAUGACCCUCAACUUGGCCCAGUCCAUGUUUCCUCAGACUCAAGCCUUGCAUUCCUGGCAGAAAGACUGAAGAAAUGAUGCUGUGCUCUUCUCAGUGCUUCACGUCAGGAGGCUCUACUCUCUCAACCGGCCCCACUAUUGACGCAGUCUCAUCCUGUCACCUGGGCCGGAGUGCAAUGGCGCGAUCUCGGCUCACUGCAACCUUCAUCUCCCGUGUUCAAACGAUUCUCCUGCCUCAGCCUCCCAAGUAGCUGGAAUUACAAGCACCUGCCACCAUGCCCAGCUAAUUUUUGUAUUUUUAGGAGAGAUGGGGUUUCACCAUGUUGGCCAGGCUGGUCUCAAACUCCUGACCUCGUGAUCCGCCCACCUUGGCCUCCCAAAGUGCUGGGAUUACAGGCGUGAGCCACUGUGCCUGGCCGAGACUGUUAAGAUUUUAUUGCCCUAGUACCAGCAGUUAUGAUGUUCCAUAGAACUCAUAGCUGAGCCCAUGCCAGGGAUUCCCCAGCUCACUGAAG